rnacentral:rRNA from 1 species
CAGUCGCCGCGGGAAUACGUAGGUGGCGAGCGUUGUCCGGAAUCAUUGGGCGUAAAGGGAGCGCAGGCGGGCAUGUAAGUCUUUCUUAAAAGUGUGGGGCUCAGCCCCGUGAUGGGAAAGAAACUACAUGUCUUGAGUACAGGAGGGGAAAGCGGAAUUCCCAGUGUAGCGGUGAAAUGCGUAGAUAUUGGGAGGAACACCAGUGGCGAAGGCGGCUUUCUGGACUGCAACUGACGCUGAGGCUCGAAAGCCAGGGGAGCGAACGGGAUUAGAUACCCCAGUAGUCCCUGUCUCUUAUACA